AGAUUGAACGCUGGCGGCAGGCCUAACACAUGCAAGUCGAGCGGUAGAGAGGUGCUUGCAUCUCUUGAGAGCGGCGGACGGGUGAGUACUGCCUAGGAAUCUGCCUAGUGGUGGGGGAUAACGUUCGGAAACGGACGCUAAUACCGCAUACGUCCUACUGGAGAAAGCGGGGGACCUUCGGGCCUCGCGCCAUUAGAUGAGCCUAGGUCGAUUAGCUAGUUGGUGAGG
rnacentral:rRNA from 1 species